AUGGCCCCUGCUUGGAACUAGACAGGAACAUUCCUCCAGCCUCCAUCAUCCUCCCCUUCCCCUACUCUGAGGAAACUUCUCACCUUUCAUUGGACUCUAAGUUCCUUGGAGAGUCAGUACUCACGGCAUCCCAUCCAGGAUACCUGUUACAUUUACUUGUCAUGUCUCCUCAAGCUUCUCUUGGCUAUGACAGUUUUUUAGACUUUCCUUGAUUUUGAUGACCUUGACAGUUUUGAGGAGUUCUGGGCCCGAUAUUGCAGGACGCCUCCUUAUCGAAAUUUGUCUGAUGUUUUCCUCAUGAUUAGAUUGGGGUUGUGAGUUUUGGGGGGAAGGUAAUAGAGGAAAAGUGUCAUCUUCAUCACAUCAUAUUAAAGGUACAUAUUAGUGACAUGA